rnacentral:rRNA from 1 species
AUGCAGUCGAACGCACUAGUUUACUAGUGAGUGGCGAACGGGUGAGUAACACGUGGGUAACCUGCCCUUAAGACGAGGAUAACCAUUGGAAACGAUGGCUAAGACUGGAUAGGAAUAUUUGAGGCAUCUUAAAUAUUUUAAAAGACCUAGCAAUAGGUAUGCUUAAGGAGGGGCCUGCGGCGCAUUAGUUAGUUGGUGAGGUGAGAGCUCACCAAGACGAUGAUGCGUAGCCGGACUGAGAGGUUGAACGGCCACAUUGGGACUGAGAGACGGCCCAAACUCCUACGGGAGGCAGCAGUAGGGAAUUUUCGGCAAUGGAGGAAACUCUGACCGAGCAACGCCGCGUGAAUGACGAAGUACUUCGGUAUGUAAAGUUCUUUUAUCAAGGAAGAAUGACUCGUGGAAAAACGAGAGUGACGGUACUUGAUGAAUAAGCCCCGGCUAACUAUGUGCCAGCAGCCGCGGUAAUACAUAGGGGGCAAGCGUUAUCCGGAAUUAUUGGGCGUAAAGGGUGCGUAGGCGGUCAUUUAAGUCUUUGGUGUAAGUGCAAGGCUCAACCUUGUGAUGCUAAGGAAACUGGAUGACUUGAGUGUGAUAGAGGUAAGUGGAAUUCCAUGUGUAGCGGUAAAAUGCGUAAAUAUACGGAGGAACACCAGUGGCGAAGGCGGCUUACUGGGUCACAACUGACGCUGAGGCACGAAAGCGUGGGGAGCAAACAGGAUUAGAUACCCUGGUAGUCCACGCCGUAAACGAUGAGUACUAAGUGUUGGAGAAAUUCAG